GUCUGGCUGGCUCCAUCAGUAGAGCAUGUGACUCUUGAUCUCAGGGUCAUGAGUUCAAGCCCCAUGUUGGGUG
rnacentral:tRNA from 1 species